rnacentral:piRNA from 1 species
ACCAUGGAGACUGAGAACGACCCCC